AUUGAACGCUGGCGGCAGGCCUAACACAUGCAAGUCGAGCGGAUGAAGGGAGCUUGCUCCUGGAUUCAGCGGCGGACGGGUGAGUAAUGCCUAGGAAUCUGCCUGGUAGUGGGGGAUAACGUCCGGAAACGGGCGCUAAUACCGCAUACGUCCUGAGGGAGAAAGUGGGGGAUCUUCGGACCUCACGCUAUCAGAUGAGCCUAGGUCGGAUUAGCUAGUUGGUGGGGUAAAGGCCUACCAAGGCGACGAUCCGUAACUGGUCUGAGAGGAUGAUCAGUCACACUGGAACUGAGACACGUUCCAGACUCCUACGGGAGGCAGCAGUGGGGAAUAUUGGACAAUGGGCGAAAGCCUGAUCCAGCCAUGCCGCGGGUGUGAAGAAGGUCUUCGGAUUGUAAAGCACUUAAGUUGGGAGGAAGGGCAGUAAGUUAAUACCUUGCUGUUUUGACGUUACCAACAGAAUAAGCACCGGCUAACUUCGUG
rnacentral:rRNA from 1 species